AGAAAGGAAGGAAAGAAGGAGGAGGGAAGGAAGAAAGAAGAAAUGUCUUUAUUCAUCAUCCUUCACCUUCCUUUAUUUGGAAUACAUUUAAAAAAAAACGAAAUUCCUGUAAUAACCUGAAAAAGCAAAAGACUAACGUGGUAUUCUGAUAUUCCAACCAUA
rnacentral:ribozyme from 1 species